rnacentral:rRNA from 1 species
AUGGGCGAAGCCUGAUGCAGCCAUGCCGCGUGUAUGAAGAAGGCCUUCGGGUUGUAAAGUACUUUCAGUAGGGAGGAAGGUUCAUGCGUUAAUAGCGUAUGGAUUUGACGUUACCUACAGAAGAAGCACCGGCUAACUCCGUGCCAGCAGCCGCGGUAAUACGGAGGGUGCGAGCGUUAAUCGGAAUUACUGGGCGUAAAGCGCAUGCAGGUGGUUCAUUAAGUCAGAUGUGAAAGCCCGGGGCUCAACCUCGGAACCGCAUUUGAAACUGGUGAACUAGAGUGCUGUAGAGGGGGGUAGAAUUUCAGGUGUAGCGGUGAAAUGCGUAGAGAUCUGAAGGAAUACCAGUGGCGAAGGCGGCCCCCUGGACAGACACUG